rnacentral:rRNA from 1 species
AUUGAACGCUGGCGGCAUGCCUAACACAUGCAAGUCGAACGGCAGCACGGCAGUAGCAAUACUGUGGGUGGCGAGUGGCGGACGGGUGAGGAAUACGUCGGAAUCUGCCCAGUCGUGGGGGAUAACUAGCCGAAAGGUUAGCUAAUACCGCAUACGACCGAGAGGUGAAAGCGGGGGACCGCAAGGCCUCGCGCGAUUGGAUGAGCCGACGUCGGAUUAGCUAGUUGGAGGGGUAAAGGCCCACCAAGGCGACGAUCCGUAGCUGGUCUGAGAGGAUGAUCAGCCACACUGGAACUGAGACACGGUCCAGACUCCUACGGGAGGCAGCAGUGGGGAAUAUUGGACAAUGGGCGCAAGCCUGAUCCAGCAAUGCCGCGUGUGUGAAGAAGG